UGUAUUUAAUUGUUUGUGAUUUCCAUUAUUUCUUUCCUAUGUAAUUCUUUUUGCUCUAUUUUUUAGUUCAUCAUGCCUAUGUAGCACUUAUCUAUUCUCUGAGCACUUGGAUACCUAUCUUCAGGUAUCAUAUAAUGCUCUAGCAUUGUAUUUGAUACAUGCCCAAACUAUGACAGCUACGUUCUUAAAAUCUUCUGAUAAGGUCUCAUUUUGUGUCCCCUGUUUACUUCAUUUCAGUUUUGUUUAUUCGUUGUGCCUUCAGUGGAUUUCAGUUCCACAUACUCCUGUGACAAGUCAUUCAUUAUGUUCUGGCCAGACUCAUGUACUAUCCCUAAACAUCACCUCCUAUUGCCAUUAUCAGAGACAGAAGAGUGAGGUGCUGUGAGAUGUCUAUCUUGAAGAAAAAGUUCAGCCAUUCAAGAUAGGAGCAGGUAUGACUGUCCUGAUGCAAUUAAUUUGCACUUUGGUCAGCUCUGAGUUGAUGAAUAGACAACUGGAUAAUACCAAAAUCAUGUGAGUACCUAAACAAGAAGUGAGGCAUAGGCUAAGUUAUCAGUUUGAAGAUAACCAAAAAGGUUAAGAAAUCAAACAGAAGAACAGAAGGAAAUCCAUGCCUAAGAAGUAUGUUAAGAGAAAACAUAGUCUGAAUAUUAGCAAAAAUAUCAUGACAAUGCAGUGUGCUGUAAAUUUAAAACAAGACGAUCCUUAAUUGUUAGUAAAGCAUAAAAAAGUAUACUGUAUUUUUCAAUGUUAAAUUGUGGAGUAGUUUUUUUCUGUGUCAAUAUUACUCUUCCACAGACAAAGUAUCCUUGACCUGCAUACUGGGUAUUUAGUCCUUGCUGCCAGUUCAUAAUACACGACUGACCAGUGGGCAAAACCUUCACUCAUUCAGAGAUAGAAAGAAAGUACAAAU